UACGAAGGGGGCUAGCGUUGUUCGGAAUCACUGGGCGUAAAGCGCACGCAGGCGGCUCGUUAAGUCAGGGGUGAAAUGCCGAGGCUCAACCUCGGAACUGCCUUUGAUACUGGCGAUCUUAGAGUCCGGGAGAGGUGAGUGGAACUCCGAGUGUAGAGGUGAAAUUCGUAGAUAUUCGGAAGAACACCAGUGGCGAAGGCGGCUCACUGGCCCGGUACUGACGCUCAGGCGCGAUAGCGUGGGGAUCAAACAGG
rnacentral:rRNA from 1 species